AAAACCAAAAGUUUUAAUUUACCAUCUGUGUGGUGCAAACUUCAGUGCAUGCCCAAUGCACUCCUCAAUAUCUGCUACCUUCAUGACAGGGAAGUUCUGCAUGCAGGCCUCUACAAAUAGAAGUUAAAAAAAAACAGAGAACUUU